AGGAAAAGUUGGGGAAAAAGAGCUUACGGAUCAGAUAAUAGUGAGCAGAAGAGCGGUGCUACCUGUCGGUACGGGAGCUGAAGAGGAGGGCGGAGGCCGUAGGGACGGCGGCGGAGAUGCUGAUGGGUAGACGGCCAGGCGGCGAGGGCAGUCGCCAUGAGCAGGGAUGUCUUGCCUGGUCGGGGCGGAAGGUAGUGCGCUGAAGGUUCAUCCGGUGGGGGCCGGCGGUGUUUGCUCGCGCGGCACGCCGUACCGUGGACCGGAGCGCGCAGGGAGGAGAGAGGAGUGCGGCCGGCCGAGCUAUGGAGGGUCAGCUGGAGAAACUAUCGAUUCAGAGAUCAAUAAUAGCUGAACAGACGGUUUCAAGCAGGCGGGAAACUUGGGAAGGCAUUUCUAUGAGAACGUUUAGCAGUCAUACCUUUCUGAAGGAGAGCAGUCCGCCGACUCAUAGCAGACUGGGCAUGACGACAGUGCGGACGACCAUUCGCAGCAGUCCUUUGGAAGGCGCCACUAUGAGGGUUGGUAGAAAGCAUAGAAGCCCGUAAAAACGUGGUAUGCUGCCGCAUAGGCAUACGGUGGAGAUAGCUUGCAGUUGCUCUAUGAGGAGAAGUGCAAGGAGUGGAAGAAACUGAAAGGAAAACAAAAACCUGGUCAGGUAGAAAGCAGAAGCAAAGAAGCAAGAGAGAUGCAGGAAACAAAGCAGGGUGCACGAACCACGCCAUCAUGGAUCAACUUCCACAGCUGGCCCAUGCGGCUGGAGCAUGGUAUGUAAAGGAGGAACCGCAGACGUCCGUCCAACACGAGCAGAAGAGACGUUGGCAAUGGAAGGAUCAGAACAUAAGACAUCGGACGAAGACGGACCAGGGACGUCAACAGCUGCUAAAGAAGCCAGUGGCAGAGGUGUCCAUGAGCUCUGGCUUUGCAAGGAUGACAGACGGGCGCCGUUGUCGACAGGGAGGAAACCUGGAGAAAAGGAUGAAAAAGGUGAGAUUGAAACCAAUAAGACAUGCAGAAGAAAAGGAAGUGAAGAACGACGUCAGGCAACAAAGAAGCCAUGGCAGCAUGAACGCUGGCAUCGAGCACCCCAGGGAAAAGAGAGUGGAUGAAAGGAUCAUCAACAGCAGAAAACUCAUCCCAGGCAGACCCUCCAUAAGUUUCAGCCGGCCCCCCUACGAAAACAGCAGAAAAAGCCUAAGAAAAAAGAGGAACAACACCUCCUCCUAGAAGGAGCAACAAUGAGCAGAAGGCGGCAGUACCGGAGGACGAAUCGAUGACCGGCCGCUUCCCCAGCCGAAGUUGACGUCUCCUCUAAAUUUCUGCCUCUGUUAAAUCAUGAAAAGGUGAAAAACCACUCUGAAGCAUGGACGAAGAAGGAGCACCAACAUCGGCUGGUGAUGUUUCGAUGACCGGCCGCUUCCCCAGCCAAAGUUGACUUCUCCUCUAAAUUUCUGCCUCUGUUAAAUCAUGAAAAGGUGAAAAACCACUCUGAAGCAUGGACAAAGAAGGAGCACCAACAUUGGCUGGUGAUGUAGCAGGAACAGCAGAGAACAGCGGCGGAGACGCCGCUUGCAUGGGCAGCAGAUCGGAAUUUGGAGGAAGAUCGACCGCGGACAUCCCAGAGAACGGCCACAACCCGGAGGUCUCCCACGGCGCAGAUGAACACCGUCGGAAGCAGCACCACCACGAGCCGGCCGCGGAUGUACAACGCGAAGGCCACGGCGGCGAGACGGAGCCGGUGAAUGAGAAGAGGACGGGGGUGCCCACGGCGACGGCUAGCCGAACCGCGCGCGUCCAUGGAGUACCUGCAGAAGAAGAAACCGAGAACAUUAGAAACCAAGGAGAAGAAGAGACGACAACGAAGGCAGGGAGAAGGAGCAAAUCGCAGAGGAAGCAGCGGGAUCACCGUAACGCGGAGAGAAGAUCGAUCGUGCGCAGAGGAAGAAUGAGCAGCAUGUGUACGCGGCACACAGAUGGGCAAGGAGGAAGACGGAGGUGCCGGAGUUUCCGAGAGAAUCCCAGAAGAAACGGAACAUAAUUUGGUUGGAUGAAGGAAAAUAAGGUAAAAUCGAAAAGAAAAAAAAACAGAGAAGGGCGGUGCGUCAAGAUGUGGAGACGGCACGUAGCAAGUAACCAGGAACAGCGUGGCAAACCAGGCAGUUAAAACCCACGAUGGUAGACAUGCGAAUGAGAACUGUGCAGUUUCCGGUUGCCGGUCACCCUGACUCCAAAAAAAAAAAGAGGAAAAGACUAAACUGAUGAGGUGCUAAACAGGAAUAAACAUCAAACGUGGCAGCGUUUGGAUGGACGGAGAGAAAGAAAAAUAGCACAUGAACAGUUAGCAAACGAAGCAACGAGCCCGUAAUCAGCUAUCCAUUAUAUAGUGUAUGUAUAAUAUGGAAAUAUGGAUGAUCAUACAUUUCAACAAGGUGGCCUCAGCGAGCACACAAGUCUCCCAGCACCUGACAGCAAGUUGGCCUAAAAACAACCUGCGACGCAAUCUUUGGUGUGAUGGCCAGGCCACGCAAUCUUUUGAAUGAACGCGCUGGGAGUCCACUAGGUAUAAUUUCUCUGGAAUUUUUUGGGCGCGUGCUAGGCGUCGGUCGCCGGAUAUCCGGCCAAAAAUCGGUUGCUCCCCCUCCCGUUAGAUUACUAUCGCACGGUCCAAAAUCGAUUCAUUUUCCACACGUCGCUUUCAGUUUCUGUGGUGUGUCAGACGGGAGGCCACGACGACUUUCGGCCAUGUGCUGCAGGUGUGCAUGCAUGCAUUUUGCUUUCCCAUCUUGUUAAACCAGCAAACAACGCACGCAUUGAUGCUUUUGCACGUGAGUGGAGCCCAUGGCUGAUGCUGUGUGAGGUCUUGUCCUUCACACGGGUGGAUGCUGUGCACGCUGCAUGGGCUUGCUCACAUGGUGGAGCAUGCACAGCUGUUGCAUGGUGCGAUUAUGUCUAGAUCGUGGUUUAUUUGCUUACAAAUCGGUGUGAUUUCACAACAAUAUUCAUAA